rnacentral:rRNA from 1 species
ACUGGUUGAUCCUGCAGUAGUCAUAUGCUUGUCUCAAAGAUUAAGCAUGCAUGUGCAAGUAUGAAAAUUUGAACUGUGAAACUGCGAAUGGCUCAUUAAAUCAGUUAUAGUUUGUUUGAUGGUACGUGCUCGGAUAACCGUAGUAAUUCUAGAGCUAAUACGUGCAACAAACCCGACUUUGGGAGGGGCGCAUUUAUUAGAUAAAGGCUGACGCGGGCUCUGCUGUGAUCCGAUGAUUCAUGAUAACUCGACGGAUCGCGGCUUCGUGCGGCGACGCAUCAUUCAAAUUUCUGCCUAUACUUUCGAUGGUAGGAUGGGGCUACAUGGUGGUGACGGGUGAGGAGAAUUAGGGUUCGAUUCCGGAGAGGGAGCCUGAGAAACGGUACCAUCAAGGAGGCGCAGGCGCGCAAUUACCAAUCUGACACGGGGAGGUAGUGACAUAUAAUAAAAUACGGGCGCAUUAGUGUCUGGUAAUUGGAAUGAGUACAAUCUAAAUCCUUAACGAGGAUCAUUGGAGGGCAAGUCUGGUGCAGAGCCGGGUAAUUCCAGCUCAAUAGCGUAUAUUUAAGUUGUUGCAGUUAAAAGCUGUAGUUGGACUUGGGCGGGUCGGCGGUCCGCCUACGGAGCACCGACUACUCGACUUCGGCGGAUCGCGCUCCUAGCUUAAUUGGCGGGUCGUGUUUCGGCAUCGUUACUUUGAAGAAUUAGAGUGCUCAAAGCAAGCAUCGCUCUGGAUACAUUAGCAUGGGAUAACAUAGGAUUCCGGUCUAUUGUGUUGGCCUUCGGGAUCGGAGUAAUGAUUAAUAGGGACAGUCGGGGGCAUUCGUAUUUCAUAGUCAGAGGUGAAUUCUUGGAUUUAUGAAAGACGAACACUGCGAAGCAUUUGCCAAGGAUGUUUUCAUUAAUCAAGAACGAAAGUUGGGGGCUCGAAGACGAUCAGAUACGUCCUAGUCUCAACCAUAAACGAUGCCGACAGGGAUCGGCGGAUGUUGCUUAUAGGACUCGCGGCACUUAUGAGAAAUCAAAGUCUUUGGGUUCGGGGGGAGUAUGGUCGAAGGCUGAAACUUAAAGGAAUUGACGGAAGGGCACAGGCGUGGAGCCUGCGGCUUAAUUUGACUAACACGGGGAAACUUACCAGGUCCAGACAUAGCAAGGAUUGACGACUGAGAGCUCUUUCUUGAUUCUAUGGGUGGUGGUGCAUGGCGUUCUUAGUUGGUGGAGCGAUUUGUCUGGUUAUUCCGUUAACGAACGAGACUCAGCCUGCUACUAGCUAUGCGGAGCCAUCCUCCGCAGCUAGCUUCUUAGAGGGAUAUGCCGUUUAGGCGACGGAAGUUUGAGGCAAUAACAGGUCUGUGAUGCCUUAGAUGUUCUGGGCGCACGCGCGCUACACUGAUGUAUUCAACGAGUAUAUAGCUUGGCGACAGGCCGGGUAAUCUUGGGAAUUUCAUCGUGAUGGGGAUAGAUCAUUGCAAUUGUUGGUCUUCAACGAGGAAUGCUAGUAAGCGCGAGUCAUCAGCUCGCGUUGACUACGUCCUGCCUUUGUAACACGCCGUCGCUCUACGAUUGAAUGGUCGGUGAAGUGUUGGAUGCGGCGACGGGGGCGGUUCGCCGCGAGUGCGAGAAGUCAUUGAACUUAUCAUUUAGAGGAAGGAGAAGUCGUAAAAGGUUUCCGUAGGUGAACUGCGGAAGG